rnacentral:rRNA from 1 species
ACACAUGCAAGUCGAACGGCAGCACGGGUGCUUGCACCUGGUGGCGAGUGGCGAACGGGUGAGUAAUACAUCGGAACAUGUCCUGUAGUGGGGGAUAGCCCGGCGAAAGCCGGAUUAAUACCGCAUACGAUCUACGGAUGAAAGCGGGGGAUCUUUGGACCUCGCGCUAUAGGGUUGGCCGAUGGCUGAUUAGCUAGUUGGUGGGGUAAAGGCCUACCAAGGCGACGAUCAGUAGCUGGUCUGAGAGGACGACCAGCCACACUGGGACUGAGACACGGCCCAGACUCCUACGGGAGGCAGCAGUGGGGAAUUUUGGACAAUGGGCGAAAGCCUGAUCCAGCAAUGCCGCGUGUGUGAAGAAGGCCUUCGGGUUGUAAAGCACUUUUGUCCGGAAAGAAAUCCUGAGGGCUAAUAUCCUUCGGGGAUGACGGUACCGGAAGAAUAAGCACCGGCUAACUACGUGCCAGCAGCCGCGGUAAUACGUAGGGUGCGAGCGUUAAUCGGAAUUACUGGGCGUAAAGCGUGCGCAGGCGGUUUGUUAAGACCGAUGUGAAAUCCCCGGGCUCAACCUGGGAACUGCAUUGGUGACUGGCAAGCUAGAGUAUGGCAGAGGGGGGUAGAAUUCCACGUGUAGCAGUGAAAUGCGUAGAGAUGUGGAGGAAUACCGAUGGCGAAGGCAGCCCCCUGGGCCAAUACUGACGCUCAUGCACGAAAGCGUGGGGAGCAAACAGGAUUAGAUACCCUGGUAGUCCACGCCCUAAACGAUGUCAACUAGUUGUUGGGGAUUCAUUUCCCUAGUAACGUAGCUAACGCGUGAAGUUGACCGCCUGGGGAGUACGGUCGCAAGAUUAAAACUCAAAGGAAUUGACGGGGUCCCGCACAAGCGGUGGAUGAUGUGGAUUAAUUCGAUGCAACGCGAAAAACCUUACCUACCCU